GGUGGGCUCCACCCAGUUGGAGCUUCCCGGCUGCUUUGUUUACCUAAGCAAGCCUAGGCAAUGGUGGGCGCCCCUCCCCCAGCCUCGCUGCCGCCUUGCAGUUUGAUCUCAGACUGCCCUGCUAGCAAUCAGCGAGACUCCGUGGACGUAGGACCCUCCGAGCCAGGUGCAGGAUAUGAUCUCCUGGUGCGCCGCUUUUUUAAGCCCGUCGGAAAAGCGCAGUAUUCGGGUGGGAGGGACCGGAUUUUCCAGGUGCCGUCUAUCACCCCUUUCUUUGACUAGGAAAGGGAACUCCCUGACCCCUUGCACUUCCUGAGUGAGGCAAUGCCUUGCCCUGCUUCGGCUCCCGCUAGGUGCGCUGCACCCACUGACCUGCGCCCACUGUCUGGCACUCCCUAGUGAGAUGAACCCAGUACCUCAGAUGGAAAUGCAGAAAUCACCCGUCUUCUGCGUCGCUCACGCUGGGAGCUGUAGACCGGAGCUGUUCCUAUUCGGCCAUCUUGGCUCCUCCCGACAUUCGAUGUUUCACCAUCAAGUAUGACAUUAGCUAAAAUUCAACAGCAAUACAAAUUAACCUUUGGAAAAUCUUUCCUGGGUUUUAUGUUUGUGUGAAAUGCCCCUUUACUAAACUGGAAGAUGUGUAAGAUGGAAGAAGAGGUUCUGCUGGAUAUGGAGAAAUUGGAACCCUUGUACAUGUGGAAAUGUAAAAUGGUGCAUUAGGAAAACAGUUUCAACGGUCCUCAAAGUGGUAAACAUAGAGUUACCAUAUGACUGAGAAAUUUUACUCCCAGGUAUAUACCCAAGAUAAAUAAAA
rnacentral:lncRNA from 1 species